UACGGAGGGUGCAAGCGUUAUCCGGAUUCACUGGGUUUAAAGGGUGCGUAGGCGGGCAGGUAAGUCAGUGGUGAAAUCUUCAAGCUUAACUUGGAAACUGCCAUUGAUACUAUCUGUCUUGAAUAUCGCGUAGGUAAGCGGAAUAUGUCAUGUAGCGGUGAAAUGCUUAGAUAUGACAUAGAACACCAAUUGCGAAGGCAGCUUACUUCACGAUUAUUGACACUGAGGCACGAAAGCGUGGGGAGCAAACAGG
rnacentral:rRNA from 1 species